GACGAACGCUUGCGGCGUGCCUAAGAAAUGCAAGUCGAGCGGAAGCAGCAAUGCUUUAGCGGCGAACGGUCGCGUAACACGUAAGCAACCUGCCCCGAAGACCGGGACAACGCUUCGAAAGAGGCGCUAAUACCGGAUGUGACCCUAAUGCGACCUCGCGUUGGGAUUAAAACCUCGCAAGGGGGCUUCGGGAGGGGCUUGCGGCCUAUCAGCUAGUUGGGGAGGUAGUGGCUCACCAAGGCGACGACGGGUAGCUGGUCUGAGAGGAUGGUCAGCCGGACUGGGACUGGGAUACGGCCCAGACUCCUACGGGGGCAGCAAUUAGGAAUCUUGCGCAAUGGGCGAAAGCCUGACGCAGCGACGCCGCGUGGAGGAGGACGGCCU
rnacentral:rRNA from 1 species